UCCUGAACUUUGCCCAGGCCCUGAUAUGGAGAGUGCUAUCUGGCCAAGACCAAAACCAUACCAGGAACAUUUAAACAACCGGAUGAAGUUGCAGUCCUGGGAACUUUCAUUGCAGUCUCACGGAUGAGUGAUGCACUUCACUCAGUCGCACACCGUCACAGUCCUCUAAUGCGCGAUUAGGAGUGGCCAUAGCAUGUUGUAUGAUGCUUGAUACCCUGAGGUGCUGAUAGGCCAGUGUUGAUGGAUAUAGCUGCAGCAGUUAAACAGCAUGCCUCAAUUGCUCCACCCUGUUUUGCCAGAGAUAAAAAACCAUAUGUGUUCUUUCAUUCUGUCUCAGCCAUCCACAUUAAUUUAAAUCACUGGUGGUGUCUUUGUUAAUCAUGCAGAAAUGUGGACUUGGAUUGCUGAGGCAUGAAUAUGUUUCUGCCUUUGCACAUGGGGAGGAGGAUGUCACACUUGUCACAGAAAGGGCGGUAAUUAAAUGUGUGCAGUGGAUGCUAAGAAUCUUACAUAUGUAUCGAGUUUCAGCUCCUCUAUUGCAACUCGCUGUCAAUUUCAUUGUUGAAUGAGGCAGUUGCAUUUAAAUACUAUUGAGGGUCACUGUAUCUUUGAAAAGUCGUGGAGCUUGGGGAAGAUCUCCAGUGACAGGAGAAAGGUGAAUGUCAUGCCCACCUUCAGAAAGAACAAGAAGGAUGAUCUGGGGAGCUGCAAGUCAGUCAGCAUCACUUUGGUCUCUGGGAAAGCCUUGAAGCAAGUUCUUGUGGAAGCCUUUUCUGGGCAUGUGAAGGACUAUUGGGAAUAGCCAGCAUGGAUUUACCAAGGUGCUCUGGUCUUGCAACCUGUCCCACUGCACCCCUGGAAUCCUAGUAAGAUCACAACUCUGCAGCUGUGCAUAAUUUCUCCUAUGUGUUUCCCGUGCUGUGGGUGUUUUGUUCCCCCACUUGAGAG
rnacentral:lncRNA from 1 species